UAAGGUGACUAUAGCGGCAGUGUCCACCUCUUCCCAUUCCGAACAGAGAAGUUAAGCCUGCCCGCGCAGAUGGUACUUGGUUAACACCUGGGAGAGUAUGUCGUCGCCAACU
rnacentral:rRNA from 1 species